rnacentral:rRNA from 1 species
UGCCUGUACCAUAACCGACACAGGUGGGUAAGUAGAGUAUACUAAGGGGCGCGAGAUAACUCUCUCUAAGGAACUCGGCAAAAUAACUCCGUAACUUCGGGAGAAGGAGUGCCUUAUUCUUAAGGUUGCAAUAACAAGAUCCAAGCAACUGUUUAUCAAAAACACAGGUCUCCGCUAAGUCGUAAGACGAUGUAUGGGGGCUGACGCCUGCCCAGUGCCAGAAGGUUAAAGAAGUCGGUUAGCAAUAGCAAAGCUGGUAACUGAAGCCCUGGUGAACGGCGGCCGUAACUAUAACGGUCCUAAGGUAGCGAAAUUCCUUGUCGGGUAAGUUCCGACCCGCACGAAAGGCGUAAUGAUUUGGAUGCUGUCUCGGAGAGGGGCUCGGUGAAAUAGACUUGUCUGUGAAGAUGCGGACUACCUGCACCAGGACAGAAAGACCCUAUGAAGCUUUACUGUAACUUGAAAUUGAAAUUGGACUUUAUUCGCGCAGUAUAGGUGGGAGGCGUUGAUUAUAAUCUUGUGGGAUUAUUGGAGCCAUCAGUGAGAUACCACUCUUGUAAUGUUAGAUUUCUAACUUUGAAUCAUUAUCUGGUCAAAGGACAGUUUCAGGCGGGCAGUUUGACUGGGGCGGUCGCCUCCUAAACGGUAACGGAGGCGUACAAAGGUUUCCUCUGAACGGUUAGAAAUCGUAUCUAGAGUGUAAAGGCAUAAGGAAGCUUGACUGUGAGACCUACAAGUCGAGCAGGGACGAAAGUCGGUCUUAGUGAUCUGACGGUACUGAGUGGAAAGGCCGUCACUCAACGGAUAAAAGUUACUCUAGGAUAACAGGCUGAUCUCCCCCAAGAGUUCACAUCGACGGGGAGGUUUGGCACCUCGAUGUCGGCUCAUCGCAUCCUGGGGCGGUAGUACGUCCCAAGGGUUGGGCUGUUCGCCCAUGAAAGCGGUACGCGAGCUGGGUUCAGAACGUCGUGAGACAGUUCGGUCCAUAUCCGGUGUAGGCGCUAGAAUAUUGAGAGGAGCCUUCUUUAGUACGAGAGGACCGAGAAGGACAUACCUCUGGUGUACCAGUUAUCGUGCCAACGGUAAACGCUGGGUAGCUAUGUAUGGAGUGGAUAACCGCUGAAAGCAUCUAAGUGGGAAGCCCACCUCAAGAUAAGUAUUCUCAUCACGUAAGUGAGUAAGGUCACGGUAAGACUAACCGUUUGAUAGGCAUUAAGUGUAAGUACAGUAAUGUAUGUGCUGAGAUGUCCUAAUAGACCGAGGACUU